rnacentral:ncRNA from 1 species
UGAGAUAGAGGCUGCGCCUUAUCAUCAGUAGCAUUUUCCCGGAGGCACCUGCUGUGCCGGAAAUGUGAAAGGGAAGGGCGCCGAGGCCGGAUACCGGAGCAGGCCGGUGUCAAGGCUGGGCGGACGGAAUAAUAUCUGUCCGACUGUCGCAUGAACAUGCGGGGAGCUAUCC